rnacentral:lncRNA from 1 species
UUUCAAAUUUCUAGUUUCCCAAAAAAAAAAAAAAAAAAAAAAGGGAAAUUCAACAAAGCUUCAUCAAUGGAGGACAACUACAAAUUCUCAAAAGCUUUACACUAUCUUGAUCAAGAUAGUGUGAAGUAAAAUCAAUUCAUGGUACCCAACAAAAGCUUCAACUCCAAAGCUUCACCUACAAAGCUUCAACUCCAAAAGCUUCACCACAAAAGCUUCACCCACAAAAGCUUCCCCCACCACAAAAGCUUCACCCAUAAAAGCUUCACCCACAAAAGCUUCCCUCACCACAAAAGCUUCACCCACAAAAGCUUCACCUACAAAGCUUCAACACAAAAGCUUCACCUAUAAAAGCUUCACACUAUCUUGAUCAAGAUAGUGUGAAGCAAAAUCAAUUCAUGGUACCCAACAAAGCUUCAACCUCAAAGCUUCAUCUACAAAGCUUCACCUACAAAGCUUUAAAUAUAUAUAUAUAUAUUUUUUUUUUCAAAAAUUCGAAAAUUCAAAAAUUCGGAAAUUUGAAAAUUAGAAAAUUUGAAAAAAAAAAUUCAAAAAAAAAAAAUUUAAAAAAAAAUCGAAAAAAGAAUUGCCUAGGCCUCCUCUUCUUUGGGCCUAACAACUUUCAUAACAAAUAUUUAUGAAGAAGGAGUUUUGGGCUACCACUUAGAAAGGAAAUGCCUCAUUCGUCAACUCCCUCGAUCGGAGACUUGGGGGACUUCUACCGUAUGCUACUGCACCUCGAUACUCGGAAGUUUCACGACCAUUCAAUGACUUGGAUUUUUCAACUCUCCAAACGAGAAGUUUUCCUCACUUGGGAAAUUAAGGGAGCACUACCUCAACCUACAUGCUUCACUCACAAAGCUUCAACAUAUAAGCUUUAACGAAAGGAAAAAUUUAAAGAACUUAGUGAAGAAGACCUUGGUGUAUUUAACAUAAUACGUUGAAAUGAAGCAAAGCUUGUUUAUUGAUAUCUCCGAUAAGUUACAAAUAUGUACAUAUACAUGAAU